GAUGAACGCUAGCGGCAGGCCUAACACAUGCAAGUCGAGGGAGAAGCCCGUUCGGGGGCAGAAACCGGCGCACGGGUGCGUAACGCGUAUGCAACCUACCUUUCACAGGGGGAUAGCCCGAAGAAAUUUGGAUUAAUACCCCAUAAUAUUAUUGGAUGGCAUCAUUUGAUAAUUAAAACUGCGGUGGUGAAAGAUGGGCAUGCGUCCUAUUAGCUAGUUGGAGUGGUAACGGCACCCCAAGGCUACGAUAGGUAGGGGUCCUGAGAGGGAGAUCCCCCACACUGGUACUGAGACAGGGACCAGACUCCUACGGGAGGCAGCAGUGAGGAAUAUUGGUCAAUGGUCGGAAGACUGAACCAGCCAUGCCGCGUGCAGGAAGAAUGCCUUAUGGGUUGUAAACUGCUUUUAUAUGGGAAGAAUAAGGCGUACGUGUACGUUGAUGACGGUACCAUAUGAAUAAGCAUCGGCUAACUCCGUG
rnacentral:rRNA from 1 species